rnacentral:rRNA from 1 species
GACGAACCGUGCGAACGUUAUUCGGAAUCACUGGGCUUAAAGGGUGCGUAGGCUGCGAGGAGGGUGGGGUGUGAAAUCCCUCGGCCUAACCGAGGAAUUGCGCUCCAAACCGCCUUGCUGGAGUGAGACAGAGGUGAGCGGAACUAAUGGUGGAGCGGUGAAAUGCGUUGAUAUCAUUAGGAACACCAGAGGCGAAGUCGGCUCACUGGGUCUCAACUGACGCUGAUGCACGAAAGCUAGGGUAGCGAACGGG